GGACAGGGACCACCAUCUGCAUUUCCCCAUGAAGUUUUACAGUAUGCAUUAAUGGGGACCAACUACCAGGCCAAGUUCAGAUCUGUGGAGAGGCGAGGACUCUCACGCUACACUGAGACCUUUGCACUCCUGAAGAAUGGGUCAAAUGCUGUGGACCACAAAUGCCAAAUCGCAACCAUCUCUCACCCUGAGCACCCGCCCACCUCGCUACAGACAGACGGAUGGUGAUGUCAGCGAGAGGCGUGGAUCCUAACUCAAUCUUUGGGUGGUGGGAGAGCCCUGAAUGCGUGAGGGGGUCAGCGCCAAAUGACAAUAAAUGACGCCAAUAGAAGCAGGAACCAUAAAGCUUUAUCAGAUUAGAGGAGCAAUGAAAUCAUGACAUAUUACUUCGGCCUAAACACCGCAAUUGGAAAAAAGUCUGAGGAUAGCAUUUUGCAAGACUUUUACUGCUCUUUUUAUUACAUUUGCCUUUUGUUUAUUUUUCUUCCCCGCGGUUCAGUUUGCGCCUCUCCCCGAGACAACGCACUCCCUCUUCAUGCUUUAUAUGGACGUAUGGUUGCCGGGGCGGAGUGGGUAUCCUGGGAAGUAUAAAUGCCCCUCUCAUUGCGUUUGUGCGUUUGAUAAAAAUCUUCCUUCCAGCUCUGGGUUUGUUGGCGGGCCGCUAACCAGCUCCAGCACUGGCUUCAGCUGACUCCUAUUUGAUCAUGCACCGCUGUAAUGGAAGCCAGGUCCCUCUGCGCACACACACACAGACACACAAACACACAGACGCAUAUGCACAGACACUCACACUCGUGUUGGGGUUCCAUGCUUCUCGGGAACAUUACAUUGAUGUACAUGCAUUUCCGAGAGACUGAUCCUAACCUUAAACAUAGUCACUACUUGCCUAAGCUUAACCUGAGCCCCAAAUUUAGCCUAUGUUUUACCAAUAUCUGAACUUUAAAACAUGUUGUUGAUAAUAAUAAUUAAAAAAAAAAAACGAAAGCUGCUCUCGGCAGUCAUGAUGACCGCCUGGCAUGCUACUGUCCCUUGUCCUUCUGCCCAGGCCACAGAUCCUCCAUCAGAAAAAUGACACAGAGCACCUUUAAGUGUUUUUUGUCAUGUUUGCACUCCUGCUGAACAACCGUUAAACUCAAUGAUUCUCUUCAGUAGAAAGACAAGCAACUGCAAGACCAGAUUAAUGCACAUAAGGAGAUUCAGUACCUGUACAACUCUACAGUACAGGGAAAUAUGCAGUUGAAGCAAGAGCUUGCAAACUCCAAAUUAGGAAUAAGACUGAUGAUUUGGAGAUGCAAGAACUUAAAGCUUCUCUCCAGAAGAAAAACAAAGAGCUGGCGACUUGAAUAAAUGGAUAUAAAGAGAUCCAACAGUUCAGUGAGACAAAGUGUCCAGCUCAAAAAAAAAAGCUAUCCAGCACCAGUAAAGUCCUUGAAAAGAUGAAGGAACAACUUAAAGCACAGGACAAUAUCAUUGAAAUGAGAACCAUAAACAGGUCGGAUCCAGAGAGAUGCAGAGACUCUCAAACCACUGGUAUUGGAGUUGGUGGAGGUGUAACUCACAGAGACAAUGAGAAACUGUCCUCUCAGCACGAGAGGAGGUACGUCUCCUGAAGUUUUGUUGCGAAAGUGAAAAAGCUCAGCCAUACAGCUGCCUGAAAGGAGCAGCCGUAGUAAAGGAGCAGAGGAGGGUGUUCCAGCGCAAUUACCAACACUAAAGCAUCUUCAAACAUUACCCUUUACACUUUGCAUUAUGUAAAAAUAAAACAAAAAUAGUUUUAACAUUGUUAAAAUAGUCUAUGGUAGUUAUUCAUGUU